AAUUCUCCUUUAUUUUAUUUUCUUAAGCUCUGUUAACAUGGUAUGAAGAACCAUGGAUCGAUCCUGAGUUCUUCUGCUUCCAUUUUCUAUGCCUUGACAUUCUUUUCUGGACCUCCAUGGAAAUCAACGUCAAUAUCUGCUUCUUCCAUGUCAUUAUUGGAUUCUCAAUUUUGUCAAACUAAAUCAAGGUAUUCUUGAUCCAAGAAGGGAAAUACCAAGAGAGAAUGAGGACAGAAGAAUGCUUACAUCCCAUUUUUUAGGACUGGAACCUGUUGAAAAUCUGAUGCUUAAAUAUCCUCCUUUUUGUGACUAGAACCUGUUUGAAAUCCUUAUGCUUAUUGCUUAAUUGAAGAGAAGAUCAUUCAAGUUCUGAGACAGCUCAAGGAAUCGACUGACCAACAUGUUCUUGCUCAGGUUUGGGCACCAAUAAAGAAUGGGGGUCAGUAUGUGCUCAACUUCAGGGCAACUCUUUGUUCUUGAUGCUCAUACUAAUGGACUUCAUCAAUAUAGGAUGACUUCUCAGAUGUAUAUGUUUUAUGUGGAUGAAGAGAGUGAUGAAUUGCUUGGGCUCCCUGGCCGUUCUUUCUAGCAAAAAUUGCCAGAAUGGACCCCAAAUGUUCAGUACUACUCCAUCAAAGAGUAUCCACAUCUUGGUCAUGCUCAGCAUAUAAUGUUCAAGGAUCCUCAGCUUUGCCCGUGUUUGAACCCUCUAGAUGGUCCUGUGUUGGUGUUCUUGAGCUCAUAAUGACUUCUCCAAAGAUCAACUAAUAUGCUUAUGAAAUUGAUAAAGUUUGCAAAGCACGUGAUGUUGGUUCAUUAUUUUAUUUUCUGACCAUAUAUUAUCAAUUAGUGAUUUUGAUAAAUUAAUUUGUUGUUGAUAUGUUGAUUGAAGAUGUGAUAAAAGCCUAGUUUCUUGGUACAUGAAGAAAGUGUGGGGGAUUUAGAUAUCUUGUGAUCAAGUAAGCCUACACCUAUCAAGGGCAUGGUUGUUGGAGAGUGGCUAGUAGUACUGCUAGCUAGUAUACGUACAAGAAUUGUCAUCAACUCGAACAAUUGAGUUACCAUUCCUCAAUUCUAACUUUAGGGAUAUCACCUUCAA